UGUAAACACUGUCCUCCUCCCUCUGGAAACUCCAGCCCCAGCUACAGGUUACUUGGUUGAGCCCUGAUCUUAAAGAGACCUGAGCCCUUUAAUCACCCAGAGGCAAAGGCGUACGGUACUUCCAACGGGCUGCUAACUGGGCGGGAAUUUGCGAUCUUUGUUUUCCCCCUCCCCCAACCUCCCCAGCUGCUGUAGAUGUGAUUAUGAACUCUUUCUCUCCCUGUUUCUUUACUUUCCCCUCCUCCUCCUUCCCCUCUACAGAGAGGGAUUUCUUUUUCUACUUCUCUCCCUCGAUUGCAAGACUCAAGUCUUUUCUACCUUGGGAGGAGCCAAGCCAAGAUGUUCAAGUUUGAUUCCUGUUCAGUAGAAGCCUUGGAAAUACAGGGAAGCACCUUCAAGCAGAACAGGUCAGCAAUGCUUCAAACUGUGGUUCCAAGGGCUACUGGCAACCUGGUUAAACUUUCUGACUGAUGAAGGAAUCAACAGGAUGACUUUACCAGCCUGGGAAGCAAUAAACACCGAGGGAGGAUUAAGAUGCCAGGAAUCCAGCCUUGCCACCACUCUACCCCUCUCUCCCCCAUCAGAAAGGAGUCAGGUGGAUGGUAGAAGGUCCCUUACUCAUGGUGACAGUUUGGGGCCAAAACUGAUGCAUAAAUGGAGCAGACUUGGGGAACAGAAGAGAUGCUGGAAGCCAGGAUGAGUCAGUAUGAAAAGGCAAAGUGCUAGCCAGCCCUGGCCCAGGCUGAGCCUGGAUUCCCCAAAUCAGGAACCCUAAUUAAUAUAAACCAACAUAGAACUGAUGGCAGUUCCACACAGUCCACCAUUUUAGAAGACACUCGCAGCAUCCUAUGGACCUCACCAGGAAGAAAGCUGCUUAAAGUAAUAUGUGACCACUGUACCCCUGGGCCCUGGUGAAAAUGAGCUGUGUCUUAGCAACUCUCGUGGGAGAAGAGAACUAAAAGACAAAUAAAUAUAGACCUCCAGUGGGCCAAAAGCCCCAUUACUGACCUGUCAGCCAGGACAAUGUGCCUCACUCUUUAACUCAUCUGCCCUCCCUUUCCUGCUGAAGCUGGAAGUCAAUAUGCCAGGAUUUGCCACCCCUAAGCCCCCAGUGGAGUUUGGAGAAGUCAGGCUGCUAAGCAUCUUGGAUCUUCUGUUUGUUUUCUGGGCCCACUUUCUCCUUAACCAGCAUCAGGCCUUGUAAAGUCUACAGCAGAUGAUGAAGGAGGGGGGAGGGGAGGUAGGACUGCAGAGGGGCAGUUCCCUUCAGCAUCUAAGUUAACAGAGGGGAUGGUGCAAAAGAAAGACCAAUGUGUUUCAGUUUCUGAAAUCCAUCCCCAGCCAUUGACUAGCUCAUCUGACUUCUAGCUUAGAGAAUUUUCUUCUGGGCCUCCUCGGAUGGUCUGACUAGAGCUGGCAGAGACUCCAGAGAUCGUGGGCUCUAACCUCCUCCUUUUACACAUAAGGAAAUCAAGGUUCUCAAGCUUGUCUAAGCUCACCCAGGGAGGUGAGUGGCAGAGCUGGGUUUCAAACUGGAAUCCAGCUCUCUCCCCAUUGCUCUAUGCCCCAGUUUCCUUCUCUACAAUAGGAGAGUUGCAUCAAAUGCUUUUUUUGUGUGUCACAAACUCUUUUGGUUAUGUUUUAGGGAAGAAGACUAGGGAUCCUUUCUCAGAAUAAUGAUUGUUAUCAUACAACAAACAAAAGAUUUGUUGUCUACAUUAUGUUGUUCAUAAUUUAAGGAAAUUCUCAAAUUUUCAGUUCUCUAAUAUCUAAUGACUAUAUCCUGGGACUGUUGGGAGGUUAGUGAAAAUAAAGAUGUAAUUUUUCCCCCAUUCAAGCUAACAGACACCUCACCCCACCCCACCCCACCCCCAAAAAUUUGAUCCAUUGACCUCUUGGGUGGACCACAGAAUUCCAGGUUAUGAAGCCCUGCUUCGAAUGAUCUCUAAGGCCAAGUUCAUACCUUUCAGCUCUGAGAAUCUAGGGUUCAAGUGGCCAUGACUUCUUGCCUCCUUCUAGGAGGCCAUAUCCAUUCAAGAAGUGGUGCAGUAUGACUAAUGAAGAAAUAUAUUUAAUGUUAUUAUGUAUAUAUAACCUAUAUCAGACU